rnacentral:rRNA from 1 species
CCUACGGGAGGCUGCAGUAGGGAAUCUUCCACAAUGGGCGAAAGCCUGAUGGAGCAACGCCGCGUGGGUGAAGAAGGUCUUCGGAUCGUAAAACCCUGUUGUUAGAGAAGAAAGUGCGUGAGAGUAACUGUUCACGUUUCGACGGUAUCUAACCAGAAAGCCACGGCUAACUACGUGCCAGCAGCCGCGGGAAUACGUCGGUGGCAAGCGUUAUCCGGAUUUAUUGGGCGUAAAGGGGACGCAGGCGGUCAUUUAAGUCUGCUGUGAAAGCCUUCGGCUUAACCGGAGUAGUGCAUUGGAAACUGGGAGGCUUGAGUGCAGGAGGGGAAAGUGGAACUCCAUGUGUAGCGGUGAAAUGCGUAGAUAUAUGGAAGAACACCAGUGGCGAAAGCGGCUCUCUGGUCUGUAACUGACGCUGAGGUUCGAAAGCGUGGGUAGCAAACAGGAUUAGAUACCCCAGUAGUC